ACUUUACUCCUGGUGCCACCAGGCUGAAUUCCACCUAAGUGGCUCCUGUCUGCAUCCCACUCCAACCUGAUCCUUGGGAGGGGCCAAUACACUGUAGCCUGUGAACUAAGAUGGCAGCUGCCCAGUGAUCAAAGACUGCCCUACUAGGGUAAACUAAGAACUCAGUGAGUGCCACUGUCAAAAGAAGCCAGAGCCACUGACAUCUGUCUGUUGAGCUGCGACCACUGUUGACUAUGCGAGCUGGAAAAACUUAGCUGGAGUGCUGAGAGCCACUGCUGCCUGGAGGAGCCAAUAACACGAUUUUUGUGUGAGCUCACACUACUGUUCCUUGGGGGAACUGAUCCACCUAUGAUCUGUAGGAGCUGAGAACCCCUGUUACCUGGUGGAGGUGAGAACACUGGCACCUGAAAGACUCAGGAAGCCACAAGUCUCAAAUAUUUUGGAUUGGUAUGGACUGUUGCUUGAUGAUAGGAAGGAACUCACUCUACAACAACUGCCCUCAGUAAUCGGCCACCUGUGUCCCCCGGUGAAUUAGCUCUGCCAGAUCUCCACUACUGAUGUCAAAGUCACAAGCUCAGGAUUAAGCUCCCUGUGAUUGUGUUUUAGGUAUGGAUUUAAAAGUGCUUCUUGUGUGCUAAAAGCAUCUGUCUAACCUAUAUGCACCCAGUCUUCUGCAUAGAGGAAAUAGUGCUAAUGCUUUUAACCAGAAUCAUUUUGGGGUCCCCUUUGACUCAAUGGCAUGAGUCUACUGCCUUUUCUACAAGCAGAUUUCGGAUUUCAGUAGAGAUUAC
rnacentral:lncRNA from 1 species